AUACGGAGGGUGCGAGCGUUGUCCGGAAUCACUGGGCGUAAAGGGCGCGUAGGCGGCCUGGUAAGUAGGGGGUGAAAUCCUGCGGCUUAACCGCAGGGCUGCCUUCUAAACUGUCAGGCUCGAGCACAGUAGAGGCAGGUGGAAUUCCCGGUGUAGCGGUGGAAUGCGUAGAGAUCGGGAAGAACAUCAGUGGCGAAGGCGGCCUGCUGGGCUGUUGCUGACGCUGAGGCGCGACAGCGUGGGGAGCAAACA
rnacentral:rRNA from 1 species